rnacentral:rRNA from 1 species
GUAGUCUCGCACAGAUGCAUAUCAAUAAGCGGAGGAAAAGAAACUAGCAAGGAUUCCCCUAGUAACGGCGAGUGAAGCGGGAAGAGCUCAAAUUUGAAAUCUUAAAGGGUUUCCCUUUACGAAUUGUAGUUUAAAGAAGUGUUUUCUGUUGAGGUUUUGGUAAAAGUUCUUUGGAAUAGGACAUCAUAGAGGGUGAGAAUCCCGUAUUUGACCUUUACUUUCAACUUUGUGAUACACUUUCAAAGAGUCGGAUUGUUUGGGAAUGCAGUCCAAAAUGGGUGGUAAAUUUCAUCUAAAGCUAAAUAUUGGCGAGAGACCGAUAGCGAACAAGUACCGUGAGGGAAAGAUGAAAAGAACUUUGAAAAGAGAGUUAAACAGUACGUGAAAUUGUCAAAAGGGAAGCGUUUGACACCAGUGUUGUUUUUCUGAAAAUCAAUUAAAGAACUGUUUAUGCUAAGUUGUUUAGACUUUAUCAGCUAACUGUUUAGUUUUGAGCUUUUCUUUAAUGCACUUUUCAGUUAACAAGUCAACAUCAAUUUCUUUUGCUGUAAAAAAGCUUGAGGAAGGUGGCUUGAGAUUCGUCUUAAGUGUUUAUAGCCUCUUGCCUAUGCAGUCGGAGAGAUUGAGGUCUGCAGCGUAGAUCCUUCGGGGCUAAAUGCAUUUGUGCUAAGUUAUAGCAUUUUAUAGACAACUUGUUGACUAUGAUUUGUCUUGUAGCUUACUCGCUUAUGUUAUUUUACCUACGCUUAGGAUGUUGACGCAUGAGAUAUACGC